rnacentral:rRNA from 1 species
CCCGCUGAACUUAAGCAUAUCAAUAAGCGGAGGAAAAGAAACUAACAAGGAUUCCCCUAGUAACUGCGAGUGAAGCGGGAAGAGCUCAAAUUUAAAAUCUGGCGUGCCUCUGGCCGUCCGAGUUGUAGUCUGGAGAAGCGUUUUCCGUGUUGGACCGUGUAUAAGUCUCUUGGAACAGGGCGUCAUAGAGGGUGAGAAUCCCGUCUUUGACACGGACUACCAAUGCUUUUGUGAUGCGCUCUCAAAGAGUCGAGUUGUUUGGGAAUGCAGCUCAAAACGGGUGGUAAAUUCCAUCUAAAGCUAAAUAUAGGCGAGAGACCGAUAGCGAACAAGUACCGUGAGGGAAAGAUGAAAAGCACUUUGGAAAGAGAGUUAAACAGUACGUGAAAUUGCUGAAAGGGAAACGCUUGAAGUCAGUCGCGUCUGCCAGGACUCAGCCUUGCUCCUGCUUGGUGCACUUUCUGGUUUGAUGGGCCAACAUCAAUUUUGACCGUUGGAGAAAGGCUUUGGGAAUGUAGCACCUUCGGGUGUGUUAUAGCCCUUUGUUGUAUACAACGGUUGGGAUUGAGGACCGCAGCACGCCUUCAUGGCCGGGGUUCGCCCACGUACGUGCUUAGGAUGUUGGCAUAAUGGCUUUAAGCGACCCGUCUUGAAACACGG